UAGCCUUGACAUUGAUUGAACACACUAGAGAUAGAGUGGUGCCCUUCGGGGAACAUGAAAACAGGUGCUGCACGGCUGUCGUCAGCUCGUGUCGUGAGAUGUUGGGUUAAGUCCCGCAACGAGCGCAACCCUCGUCCUUAGUUACUAACGGUUUGGCCGAGGACUCUAAGGAGACUGCCUUCGUAAGGAGGAGGAAGGUGAGGACGACGUCAAGUCAUCAUGGCCCUUAUGGCUAGGGCUACACACGUGCUACAAUGGGGCGUACAGAGUGUUGCGAUACCGCGAGGUGGAGCUAAUCACUUAAAGCGUCUCUCAGUUCGGAUUGGAGUCUGCAACUCGACUCCAUGAAGCUGGAAUCACUAGUAAUCGUAGAUCAGCAAUGCUACGGUGAAUACGUUCCCGGGUCU
rnacentral:rRNA from 1 species